rnacentral:misc_RNA from 1 species
AAGUCGUAACAAGGUUUCCGUAGGUGAACCUGCGGAAGGAUCAUUACAGAUUGUUUUCAAAAACAAAAUUGGACUAAGCUGUUGCUGGUUUUUUCGAAAGAGAAAGCAUGUGCACGCUUUGGCUUCAGUUUUUGACCACCUGUGCACCCUUGUGUGGAUUUUUGAAUAUUCAGGAAGAAAAAAAAAUUCCUGGUCAGAGAAAAUGUCUCAGAAACAUACAGUAUGGGACUUUUCUUGUAUUUCAGAUCUACAUCAUUUUUUUUUUUUUUUCUACAUACACUUUGUAUUACAUAUUGGAACGAUUAAAUGAUUCAAUUUUCAUUUUGAAAACAACUUUCAACAACGGAUCUCUUGGCUCUC